UUUUUUCAUUUGACGCACUGGUAUUUAUUUGUUUAGUUCUUUUGUAGUUGUAUGUAAUAAUAAAGGUAAGGUAAAAUUCAUAUGAAAAGGAUCAUCAGCUACUUCUACAAGAUAUAUGCAGGGCUUUAUUUGGACUGGUAGGAAGUUUAUACAACUUUUGGAACAGACAUUCGGAAUCAAUUUUUCAUUUUCAGAAGCAAUCAAAAUUUCUAAUAGAUGUGAGAUACUUUGUCUUUAAUUUCUGGCAAUUGGUCUUCUACUUUUACUGCUGCAUCUCAGCUCCUUUGUGAAGCUACAGACAGCAGAGUGUGCAUGGGUUCUCAAUUGAUGAUGAAGUGCAUAAAGAAUGCUUCUACUAACUUUUCACUGUCUAUUGGAUAAUGAAGCAUAUUGCUUGGUUCGUUGCUGGAAUUAUCCAUUGCCUUCUUUUAAAGGAACGAAUUGGAGUGCUUGCAAGAAAUUGGCUUCUACCUUUCUUCACCUCCAUUAUUCUUAUGAUGAUCUGUGUAUCAGCACUUCAAAAAGAAAUAAUAUGUUAUUCUAUCACUAAAUUCUAGUUUAAAAGACUUUAAUAUCUCACCAGUUUAAGCCUCUUGCUGCUCUUGAACAUCUAGAGAUUUUGAACAAGAUUCUACUGAAAAUUUUAUUUUUCAGAAACAUAUUUCCAAUAUCUCACGUUACUUGUAUUAGUACUUGAGAGCAAUUUGCGAAUUUUUGUUUUAUUUUAUUUCUUUUUAAUUGUGUACAGGAAGGAGCAAUUUCGAAGUUGAAGCUUCCUAAUAAAGAUUAUAAAUCUUCAUUAUGGUUCCUUUUUCCAGUAUGACAAAGAUGAAACAGAUCAUCAGCUGCUUCUACAAGAUAUAUUUCUCUCUGUCCAAUAAGUAAAUCAACCGCCUACUUUGUUCGAGUUCCACUGCUGGAAGGAUUUUGCAUUCAAUACAUUUGGAAUCAAUUUUGCAUUUUCAGAAGCAGCUACACAAUAUGCAAGUCAUAAGAUGAGGACCCAAUUUUAAGCAAGUUUUGAGAUCAAAGCAAUCAAUCCCCAAGGUCUCACUGUGAUUUUUGAAAGAUUUACACUGGAAGCUGCGUGGGUGUCUUGUUUCUCUUCAACUGCUGAUGAUACUUACAAAUUCACUGCAAUUUUGGAAGAAGCUGCGUUGGUUGUGCUGGGAGGAAGAAUCCUUAACUCUUUCUACAUAACCCUUAACUGUUUCUACAGGUAUAUAUACAUCCAUUGAUUUAGCUUUUCAAUGAGUGGUAAUAGUCAGAUUAUUUCACAAGUGUCCUUUUCACAAGUGUU